UGAGUGGACAUCUAUGGAUGAGAAAUGCGG
rnacentral:piRNA from 1 species